CACUCUAGAGAGACUGCCAGGGAUAACCUGGAGGAAGGUGGGGAUGACGUCAAAUCAUCAUGCCCCUUAUGCUUAGGGCUACACACGUGCUACAAUGGGUAGUACAGAGGGUUGCCAAGCCGUAAGGUGGAGCUAAUCCCUUAAAGCUACUCUCAGUUCGGAUUGUAGGCUGAAACUCGCCUACAUGAAGCUGGAGUUACUAGUAAUCGCAGAUCAGAAGGCUGCGGUGAAUGCGUUCCCGGGUCUUGUACACACCGCCCGUCACACCCCGGGAGUUGGAGACGCCCGAAGCCGAUUAUCUAACCUUUUGGAAGAAGUCGUCGAAGGGGGAAUCAAUAACUGGGGUGAAGUCGUAACAAGGUAGCCGUAUCGGAAGGUGCGGCUGGAUCACCUCCUUUCUAAGGAGA
rnacentral:rRNA from 1 species